rnacentral:rRNA from 1 species
CCUGCCAGUGCGCAUACGCUCUUUUUAAAGAUUAAGCCAUGCAUGUGAAAGUUCAUACAUUUUUAAUGUGAGACUGCGGACGGCUCAGUAUAUCAGUUAUAAUCUGCUCGAUUGUUAAGGUUAUUGGAUAACCGUGGGAAAUCUAGAGCUAAUACAUGCACCUCUCGGCGGGGGGCUUGCUCUCCGUCGAUUGCAUUUAUUAGAGCGAUACCAACCGUGUGUUUGCACACGUGGCGAAUCUAGAUAACUGUGCAGAUCGUAUGGCCUUGCGCUGACGACAUUUCGAUUGAAUUUCUGCCCUAUCAACUCUGUUGGCAGUGUAGUGGACUGCCAAGGUUUUUACGGGUAACGGGGAAUCAGGGUUCGAUUCCGGAGAGGGAGCCUGAGAAACGGCUACCACAUCCAAGGAAGGCAGCAGGCGCGCAAAUUACCCAAUCCAGACAAUGGGAGGUGGUGACGAAAAGUACCGGAUGGCGACUUAUUAUCGCCAGUUUGGAAUGAAAACAAUUUAAGCAAUUGAAUUGAGUAACGACUGGAGGGCAAGUCUGGUGCCAGCAGCCGCGGUAAUUCCAGCUCCAGUAGCGUACAGCAACGUUGCUGCGCUUAAAACGCUCGUAGUUGGAUCACUCACUGUGCUUCGGUGUACACAAACGUGCGUGCCCGUCUCUCGUCAAACCAGUUUUAUGUCCUGCGUCACUGUCGGGUUAAGGGGUGCGUCGUUGUAAUAAUUAGCCGUUGUGCAGUAAUUGCACGUGAGGAUGGCCGUUGACCUUUAGUGCGUUGAGGGUUGUGUCUCACGGGGUGUGCCUUGAGUAAAUCAGAGUGCUUAAAGCAGGCUUUACGCUUGAAUGUUAUUAGCAUGGAACGAACAAUAGUGUAUGGUGUGUGCUGAGAACGGUAGGUGGCGCACGCGCUGCCUACUACAGCAUACGACACCGACCGCCAAUCACGGAUGUUGGUUCCGUAUUGGGGUACUGAUUAAGAGGAGCGGUUGGGGGCAUUGGUAUUUGGCAGCGAGAGGUGAAAUUCUUGGACCUGCCAAGGACUAACAAAUGCGAAGGCAUCUGUCCAGACCGUAUCCAUUAAUCAAGAACGAAAGAGAGAGGUUCGAAGACGAUCAGAUACCGUCCUAGUUCUCUCUGUAAACUAUGCCGACCCGGGAUCAGUUUGGAGCUAUUUAUGCUCGCUCGAGGUUGGUCCCCCUGGGAAACCUUAAGUUUUUCGGUUGCGGGGGGAGUAUGGUCGCAAGGCUGAAACUUAAAGGAAUUGACGGAAGGGCACCACCAGGGGUGGAGCCUGCGGCUUAAUUUGACUCAACACGGGUAAACUUACCUAGUUCAGACAUCAAAAGGAUAACAGACAGAUCUUUCUUGAUAUGGUGAUUGGUGGUGCAUGGCCGUUCUUAGUUCGUGGAGUGAUCUGUCAGGCCAAUCCCGGUAACGAACGAGACCACAUCUCCAUUUGACGAG